GCUUAACACAUGCAAGUCUACUUGAUCCUUCGGGUGAAGGUGGCGGACGGGUGAGUAACGCGUAAAGAACUUGCCUUACAGACUGGGACAACAUUUGGAAACGAAUGCUAAUACCGGAUAUUAUGAUUGGGUCGCAUGAUCUGGUUAUGAAAGCUAUAUGCGCUGUGAGAGAGCUUUGCGUCCCAUUAGUUAGUUGGUGAGGUAACGGCUCACCAAGACGAUGAUGGGUAGCCGGCCUGAGAGGGUGAACGGCCACAAGGGGACUGAGACACGGCCCUUACUCCUACGGGAGGCAGCAGUGGGGAAUAUUGGACAAUGGACCAAAAGUCUGAUCCAGCAAUUCUGUGUGCACGAUGAAGUUUUUCGGAAUGUAAAGUGCUUUCAGUUGGGAAGAAGUCAGUGACGGUACCAACAGAAGAAGCGACGGCUAAAUACGUGCCAGCAGCCGCGGUAAUACGUAUGUCGCAAGCGUUAUCCGGAUUUAUUGGGCGUAAAGCGCGUCUAGGCGGCUUAGUAAGUCUGAUGUGAAAAUGCGGGGCUCAACCCCGUAUUGCGUUGGAAACUGCUAAACUAGAGUACUGGAGAGGUAGGCGGAACUACAAGUGUAGAGGUGAAAUUUCGUAGAUAUUUGUAGGAAUGCCGAUGGGGAAGCCAGCCUACUGGACAGAUACUGACGCUAAAGCGCGAAAGCGUGGGUAGCAAACAGGAUUAGAUACCCUGGUAGUCCACGCCGUAAACGAUGAUUACUAGGUGUUGGGGGUCGAACCUCAGCGCCCAAGCUAACGCGAUAAGUAAUCCGCCUGGGGAGUACGUACGCAAGUAUGAAACUCAAAGGAAUUGACGGGGACCCGCACAAGCGGUGGAGCAUGUGGUUUAAUUCGACGCAACGCGAGGAACCUUACCAGCGUUUGACAUCCCAAGAAGUUAACAGAGAUGUUUUCGUGCCUCUUCGGAGGAACUUGGUGACAGGUGGUGCAUGGCUGUCGUCAGCUCGUGUCGUGAGAUGUUGGGUUAAGUCCCGCAACGAGCGCAACCCCUUUCGUAUGUUACCAUCAUUAAGUUGGGGACUCAUGCGAGACUGCCUGCGAUGAGCAGGAGGAAGGUGGGGAUGACGUCAAGUCAUCAUGCCCCUUAUACGCUGGGCUACACACGUGCUACAAUGGGUAGUACAGAGAGCUGCAAACCUGCGAGGGUAAGCUAAUCUCAUAAAACUAUUCUUAGUUCGGAUUGUACUCUGCAACUCGAGUACAUGAAGUUGGAAUCGCUAGUAAUCGCAAAUCAGCUAUGUUGCGGUGAAUACGUUCUCGGGUCUUGUACACACCGCCCGUCACACCACGAGAGUUGGUUGCACCUGAAGUAACAGGCCUAACCGUAAGGAGGGAUGUUCCGAGGGUGUGAUUAGCGAUUGGGGUGAA
rnacentral:rRNA from 1 species